AAGACCCGGCACAGCCAAAAUAAUUUAUAUAAAUAAAUAAAUAUUUUAAAAUAAAUAAAGAAGCAGUGGUUCUCCCCAGAGGUGGCUCCCUGAAGUCUGGCCUUCAGGGGUCUGCUAUAAGAAGAACAGGAUUACAACUGAGCCCCCUUACUAGGCUAAGGAGAGCGGAGUGGUGCUCUUCCUGGGUUUAGGUCAGUAGUUCUUAAUCUUUUUUAAGGAUCAUAGAUUCCUUUGGAAAAACAAAGAUAACUGUGGACUUUCUCCUUAGAAAAGUAUGCUUGCAUAUACUUUUUUUUUUUUUGCAGUGCUGCAUGGCAUGCGGGAUCUUAGUUUCCCCACCGGGGAUCAAACUUGCGCCCACUGCAGUGGAAGCGGGGAGUGUUAACCACUGGACUGCCAGGGAAGUCCCUGCAUAUACAUUCUUGCACACAAUUUCAGGGGCUCUUGAAUCCCCAGAAGUGCAUCCUUGGUUCCUGAGUCUUAUGAGAAUCUCUCCUUUAGACCUGGAGUCUGAACCUCUGCCAGGGCACUGCCUGCCAGGAACAGAUGAUUCAGCUCACUUUUCAAGGAGGAAACUGCUCCAUCAGAGCAACUGCAGGACUCUGCCUGCCCUCCCAGCCCAGGCAGGAAUCUGGGCUUGACCCCCAGAUUGGCCCUGCUGAACCCAGAGGCUGAUCUUGGGAUGAACCUCCCAGAAGCGGGAGUCUCCUCUCUCCCUACCUCUGAGAGGAAAUCCAGUAAAUCUGUGUCCAGCCUCAGCUGUCAUCCCUUUCCUCCACUUCCCUUCUGUUCCCCUCUCUGGGUCAGCUUGUGCUGGAAGGCUCUACAAAGGGAGCACCCUAAAAGUAACCCAUGUGUUGGGAAGUGAGCGUCAGACAAAGUCUGGACAUCAGCUGUGCUUCCUUCUUUUGCCUGUGUCCCCGGUGGCAGCAGCAUCAGAGGGAACUGCCAGAGCUAACAGAUGACUGGAGGGGAGGAGGGGCAGCCGCCAGCUUCCAGCCUCCCUGACUCAGGCACACACGCUGGUUGCCCUCCACAUCUUCAGGUGCGCAGGUAGGUCUACAGCUGGGAUGGGGUGGGGCUCAGGGAAUACUGGGAAUGUUCUAUUUAUGGAGACAUGCACAGACUAAAGUAGAUGGGCAAGGAGCAGAACUAGCACAGAUACCAAGUAACCGUCUAAGCUUCGCCCGGCUUUCUGAUGGUCUGCUUCCCUCACACUCCUGAGCUGUCCCUCCAGCCUCAGCUGUCCCAACCAGGAAGCGGGAAAGGGGCUGUGUGGGAGGCUUGGGUCCUUCCUUUCACAAGGACACAGGGGCUGGGGAGAACCUCUGGGCCCCCCUCUUGACCUAUUUGCCUUUGGAGACUGAAGUCCCUUUGAGAGCUGUUAACUGGAUGAGAACACUUCUUGAGUGUAGCAUUGGAGGGGCUGAGGCUCCUGGUAGUAAGGAGGGGUGAGGGUGGGGAGAGAAGUGGCCCCUGUUGCCAAGGGGUCCUACCCUGCCUCACCUCUGCACCCAGGAUUCUGAACACAGCCCCACUCAUGCAUUAAAGACCAUGGCCAGAAGGGGCCCAGCCCAGACAGGGUCCAGGCUCUCCUCUGUAUCACAUCACCCUGGCAGCCAUCAUCUGUGAGAUCCAAGUGCUGAUGGAGGGCCAACCCUUGAUGGCAGGGAAACAUGCCCUGUUAGCCCUGGGAAAUCUGGGGGCUGGGUUGUGCUCAGCCUCCCAGGGUUGGGCGGGAAGAUAGAAUAAGGUCCCCCUCUCCCAUCUCCAGCAGUUUUCUGCCUCGCAUGGAAAAACUUGAACCUGGGCUUAGCAGACCCUUACAGAUCUGAUCCCUUCGUCCUGGGGGAACCAGAGCUGGCAUCCAGCUAUCCAGGGUCUGAGAGCUACCUCCUGCCCUUAGCUCACCUCUGAUUUAGAAACAGGGUUGGGUCUGAACCCUGAAGAAUCUGGACAAGGGGAGCCCUGACUUCUGACCCUCUCUGUGACCCAGCAUUUCCCUGCCCUGGGUUCUGAGGAAGCCCAUCACCCGCCACUCCCCACCCCCAGCAGCUUCUGAUGUCAGAGGCAAAUGAGGCCACAUCAGAAGCACCGGAUGUCUAUUUCCUGUCACUGCACCUGCUCCAGCUCUGUCUCCCCUCGGGCCUGGGAUGCUGCUGUUGCCAUGCCAACAACAUUUACUCUCAAAGGGGCCGUUACCAGGCUACAGGCCCCUUUGUGCCUGCCUCAAUGUCACUCUGAAAGUAUGACUUGCGGGAAGCAAAAGCCCAGCCCCUGGGACCCCUUAUUCCAUACAAGUUGACCCCCCUGCUCCCAGCCUUAGUUUACUCCUUUGCAUAGCGUAGUAAUGGGAAUCUCUGUUUGCAGCCCUCCCCUGGGCUGCCCAGGACCAGUCCCUCACUCUCUCGGGCUCCUGGCCUACCUCUCAGAAGAUGUCUGUGACCGGUAGUAGCCAUCAGGCUGCUUUGCUCCGAGAUAGCUGUCCUAAGCCCAGGGACCCCAGCCUUUCCUGGUCCAGGUGACCAACCCUAACCUGUGACUGCUCCUGGGCCCUGAGGCUAUCCCAUCUUUUCACCUGUGUCGUGGCCCCUUCUACUUAACCGCUGCAUGACCUUUCCUUAACCUUGACUCUUGAGCUGGUUGCUUCCUGCAGUGGUCUCCUCUCUCCUUUUCCUCCUACCAGUCCUCCUGCAGGUCCUACUGGUAGCCCAGAACCUGGUGAGAAGCCAGCUGACCCCCGCCCCUGUCCAGGUAAGCGGCAAAGCAGUCUGUGAAAGGGGAGAGAGCCUCCUGGAUGCCUUCACCCGUGGGAAGAGGGCCACAGCGUUCAAACCCUCCCACAGAUGUCCCAUAGCUUCCACUGCUAUGGAGAGGCGUGCAAACCAGGAAGCAGAGCCUUUCAACCAAAGAGCAGAGUGCAGCGCAGGGGAGAGCUACUGCGAGUGCAGGGGUAGGGCUGCUGUGGGGGACCAGGCAGGGUGCUGCCAGGAGGGGCUGCUGCAGGGUUGGAAGGGGUGUGACAUUCAGGUACCUCCAGUAAGGUGCUGGGAGGGAGGUGCUGAAGCGGAAGAGAGAGGAGUCGGUGUUUGGGUUGCCCUGAGAGUUGAGAUAUGGCCCGGGACUGGCUGGCCACCCCCCAUCCCCCUGGACUCGCAGGCACUCUCUUUACCCAGCUGAUCCAACUCAACGCUUCCCACUAUAUGGCCUGGUGCAGCCUCAGUUGUGAGGGGAGAAAUGAAACCAGCCCCAGCCCUUACCUGCUGGCCUCUAGCCCCGACCCGGCUCUCUGCAGUGCUGCAGUGGUGGCCCGCUCUGCCUGGAGCUCAACCAGUCGGCCUCGGGGGAAAAUCUCCUGCCAAGGCAGAAAGCUGUGGCCGAGUGCCCCGAGGGCUUGGACUUCUGUGAGGUGGGCCCCUGAAGUGCUCCAAGGUUGGGUGCUGCCCUCCCUCAGAACUGCAGGCCUCCCUUCUCCCCCGCUCGACGAAUGGGUCAGCAGCCGAAUCGGGCUGGAGCUAGACCUGCUGAGGGCCAGGCUGCUCGACCCUCUGAGCUCCACAUUAUGCUGAAAUCCAAGGCAGUGGCUGGAAUCUUCCGUGUCUGUGACAUGCCCCCUUGUUUCUGAUCACCCUGUAUGUUCUCUGGGGACUGGCUGGCUGGCCUCAUGGGGGUGGAGAGAGGGGUCCAAGGAAGUUCAGCUCAGCCCACAACCCAACUUAACAUUUUUUGUCUCUGUGAAUGGGGGACGAAGGCAAGGGGAGGAUGAACGGUCUCAUCUCUUUUUGCAGCUGAAACGGUCCAGCUCAGGCUACACUGCAGGGCGCAGCCAGGCCUGCGUGACAGGGACGCCCAGGUGUCACAGGGCUGUGGCUCAGCCCUGCUACCAGGAGUGCUGCCAAGCCUCAGCCUCAGGCAGCUGCCUCCAGCUGGAUGAGAACCUCCACUUCAACGGGGCCGCACCAGGGGCCACAAGGAGCCCCCUGCCCUGGACCCUGGCUGGCGCUCUGCUGCUGUUCCUUCGCUCAGCAGUCAGGGAGCGGCAGGCAGGAAGGUCCCAUAGGCCCUGCAAGUCCCCAGGCCCACCCCCAGCUCUGAUUCCUGUAGCUGUAUCUUUUUUUUUUAAUUAAAAAAAAUACAUUUAUUUAUUUUAAUUUAUUUAUU